rnacentral:lncRNA from 1 species
CCCAGCUGCUCCAUGCCAGGAGGAGGAGGAGACACCUAGAGCCUGCGACACCACGACUUGCCUCACUGCGGGUGGGUGGCAGCGACAGAGACUGCAGUGCGCCAGAGCGUUCUAGAGUGUAUGAAGAACCAAAUGAUGUAACUGUAUGCGACCUGGCUGUAGUGGAACAAAUUUGACUCUUAAGUAUGCAGGCUCUAAUUUUCCUGUCUGGUUUUGGUAAGUAUUCCUUACACAGGUUUUUUUCUUUGAAAAUCUGGGAUUGAGAGGUUGAUGAAUGAAAAUUAAUCCUUUCACUUUGUUGUGUAUAG